rnacentral:rRNA from 1 species
GAUGAACGCUGGCGGCGCGCCUAACACAUGCAAGUCGAACGAUUAAACCGCCCUUGGGCGGAUAUACAGUGGCGAACGGGUGAGUAACGCGUGACCAACCUUCCCCCCGCAUCGGGACAACCCGGGGAAACCCGGGCUAAUACCGGAUAUGCCGGGUAUGGCGCAUGUCAUACCCAGGAAAGCUUUUGCGGCGGGGGAUGGGGUCGCGUCCCAUCAGGUAGACGGCGGGGUAGUAGCCCACCGUGCCAACGACGGGUAGCCGGGUUGAGAGACCGACCGGCCACAUUGGGACUGAGAUACGGCCCAGACUCCUACGGGAGGCAGCAGUGGGGAAUCUUGCGCAAUGGGGGAAACCCUGACGCAGCGACGCCGCGUGCGGGAUGGAGGCCUUCGGGCCGUGAACCGCUUUCAGCAGGGAAGACAUUAAGGACGGUACCUACAGAAGAAGCCCCGGCUAACUACGUGCCAGCAGCCGCGGUAAUACGUAGGGGGCGAGCGUUAUCCGGAUUCAUUGGGCGUAAAGCGCGCGCAGGCGGCGCACCAGGCGGGAUCUCGAAACCGGGGGCUCAACCUCCGGGCGGAUCCCGAACCGGUGUGCUCGAGUGCGGUAGAGGAAGUCGGAAUUCCCGGUGUAGCGGUGAAAUGCGCAGAUAUCGGGAAGAACACCGAUGGCGAAGGCAGACUUCUGGGCCGACACUGACGCUCAGGCGCGAAAGCUGGGGGAGCGAACAGG